rnacentral:rRNA from 1 species
UACUCGAGUGGCGAACGGGUGAGUAACACGUGGGUGAUCUGCCCUGCACUUCGGGAUAAGCUUGGGAAACUGGGUCUAAUACCGGAUAGGAGCCAUCUUUAGUGUGGUGGUUGGAAAGUUUUUUCGGUGUAGGAUGAGCUCGCGGCCUAUCAGCUUGUUGGUGGGGUAAUGGCCUACCAAGGCGGCGACGGGUAGCCGGCCUUAGAGGGUGUACGGCCACAUUGGGACUGAGAUACGGCCCAG